CAGAAGUGAACUAUACACUCCUUCGUGCCUGAGCCGCACUAGACGUGACCUCUGCUCAUCUCAAGUCUUCACUCCACAUUUGCUUCAGUGAAUUUCAUUCAGUGAAGACAUCUGCUCCACCUGGUGUUCCAGACAACCAGCUCGUGCCUGAACCACUGCAGGUUAACUAACCAACCUCUCCCCAUUAAAGCAAACAAUAAGGAAAUAAUGAGGAUCCUGUUUGCCUGUUUGCUGCUUGUGCUGCUCAUUGCCACUACACCUUCAAAAGCAACCAAAGGUUCAAAACAAAACAAAAAGAAUGCCGAACCACAACCAGAAGAGAAGAGUAAAUGUCUUUACGAACUUUUUAUUAUACAGCACAUAAUUCACAGGAUGACUGAGGACGAGUGUGAUAAUGUAAUAGAGAAUAGGGGUAUCUUAUUUAAGGAAGAAUGUAAGGAGAUGAAUACGUUCAUUCUUAGCGAUGUGAAAACAGUCAAAUCUAUUUGUAAGGAUAGGACAGAUGGUGAUAUAAUCAG